rnacentral:rRNA from 1 species
CAGCCCCUCGAGUGGUGGGGAUGAUUAUUUGGCCUAAAGCGUCCGUAGCCGGCCGAGUAAGUCCCCCGUUAAAUCCAGCGUCUCAAGCGUUGGACUGCGGGAGAUACUACUUGGCUAGAGAGUGGGAGAGGUCAGCGGUAUUCUGGGGGUAGGGGCGAAAUCCUUUGAUCCCCGGAGGGCCACCAGUGGCGAAGGCUGCUGACUAGAACACGUCUGACGGUCAGGGACGAAAGCUGGGGUAGCGAACCGGAUUAGAUACCCGAGUAGUCC